AAGACUGUCAACGGAAAUGGACAGACCUGAAGAGUGUGGUUAAAAAAAAGGAACAGAAAAGGCGACUUUCAAUGCAGCGAACAGGAGGCGGGCCUGCGGAAACAGAUAUCAGCCUAAAGCCUAUCCAAGAAAAGAUUCUAUUCAUGAUACCACCAGUCUUGAUUGAUGGGGUCGGUGGAGUCGACACUUUCGUUGAAAUGU